rnacentral:rRNA from 1 species
AGCGAACGCUGGCGGCAGGCUUAACACAUGCAAGUCGAACGGGCGUAGCAAUACGUCAGUGGCAGACGGGUGAGUAACGCGUGGGAACGUACCUUUUGGUUCGGAACAACCCAGGGAAACUUGGGCUAAUACCGGAUAAGCCCUUACGGGGAAAGAUUUAUCGCCAAAAGAUCGGCCCGCGUCUGAUUAGCUAGUUGGUGAGGUAACGGCUCACCAAGGCGACGAUCAGUAGCUGGUCUGAGAGGANGAUCAGCCACAUUGGGACUGAGACACGGCCCAAACUCCUACGGGAGGCAGCAGUGGGGAAUAUUGGACAAUGGGCGCAAGCCUGAUCCAGCCAUGCCGCGUGAGUGAUGAAGGCCCUAGGGUUGUAAAGCUCUUUUGUGCGGGAAGAUAAUGACGGUACCGCAAGAAUAAGCCCCGGCUAACUUCGUGCCAGCAGCCG